rnacentral:rRNA from 1 species
GCACCUCAGUGAACUGAAACAUCUUAGUAGCUGAAGGAUAAGAAAGCAAACGCGAUUCCCUGAGUAGUGGCGAGCGAAAUGGGAACGGCCUAAACCAAGUUAUUAACUUGGGGUCGUGGGAAAACAUUUAACAAAUUUCUUAAUAAUUUAGACGAAGCAGCUGAAACCUGCACCAUAGAUGGUGAAAGUCCAGUAGUCCAAAAAUCAAAAAGAUUUUUCAGUUUAUCCCGAGUAGCAUGGGACACGUGAAAUCCCGUGUGAAUCAGCGAGGACCACCUCGUAAGGCUAAAUACUCCUAGGUGACCGAUAGCGAACUAGUACCGUGAGGGAAAGGUGAAAAGAACCCCUGUAGGGGAGUGAAAUAGAACAUGAAACCCUAUGCUGACAACCAGUGGGAGGCGUUUAAACGCUGA